rnacentral:rRNA from 1 species
UACGUAGGGGGCGAGCGUUUAUCCGGAUUUACUGGGCGUAAAGCGCGUUAAGGCGGCCGACAAAGUUGGUGGUGAAAUUUCAGGGCUCAACUCUGAAACUGCCUCCAAUACUGGUCGGCUUGAGUGCGAUAGAGGAAGGUGGAAUUCCCGGUGUAGUAGUGAAAUGCGUAGAUAUCGGGAGGAACACCAGUGGCGAAGGCGACCUUCUGGCUCGCAACUGACGCUGUAGCGCGAAAGCGUGGGGAGCGAACGGG